GGAAGGCUGGCCUUGUGGCUAAGGCACUUGAGUGGGAAUCAAGUUAUGUAGGUUCUUUUCCUGCUUCUGCUG
rnacentral:tRNA from 1 species